rnacentral:rRNA from 1 species
GAUGAACGCUGGCGGCGUGCCUAAUACAUGCAAGUCGAGCGAACGGACGAGAAGCUUGCUUUUCUGAUGUUAGCGGCGGACGGGUGAGUAACACGUGGAUAACCUACCUAUAAGACUGGGAUAACUUCGGGAAACCGGAGCUAAUACCGGAUAAUAUUUUGAACCGCAUGGUUCAAAAGUGAAAGACGGUCUUGCUGUCACUUAUAGAUGGAUCCGCGCUGCAUUAGCUAGUUGGUAAGGUAACGGCUUACCAGGGCAACGAUGCAUAGCCGACCUGAGAGGGUGAUCGGCCACACUGGAACUGAGACACGGUCCAGACUCCUACGGGAGGCAGCAGUAGGGAAUCUUCCGCAAUGGGCGAAAGCCUGACGGAGCAACGCCGCGUGAGUGAUGAAGGUCUUCGGAUCGUAAAACUCUGUUAUUAGGGAAGAACAUAUGUGUAAGUAACUGUGCACACCUUGACGGUACCUAAUCAGAAAGCCACGGCUAACUACGUG